AUUGAACGCUGGCGGCAGGCCUAACACAUGCAAGUCGAGCGGAUGAAGGGAGCUUGCUCCUGGAUUCAGCGGCGGACGGGUGAGUAAUGCCUAGGAAUCUGCCUGGUAGUGGGGGAUAACGUCCGGAAACGGGCGCUAAUACCGCAUACGUCCUGAGGGAGAAAGUGGGGGAUCUUCGGACCUCACGCUAUCAGAUGAGCCUAGGUCGGAUUAGCUAGUUGGUGGGGUAAAGGCCUACCAAGGCGACGAUCCGUAACUGGUCUGAGAGGAUGAUCAGUCACACUGGAACUGAGACACGGUCCAGACUCCUACGGGAGGCAGCAGUGGGGAAUAUUGGACAAUGGGCGAAAGCCUGAUCCAGCCAUGCCGCGUGUGUGAAGAAGGUCUUCGGAUUGUAAAGCACGUUAAGUUGGGAGGAAGGGCAGUAAGUUAAUACCUUGCUGUUUUGACGUUACCAACAGAAUAAGCACCGGCUAACUUCGUG
rnacentral:rRNA from 1 species